rnacentral:rRNA from 1 species
CCGAUAGCGUAUAUUAAAGUUGUUGCAGUUAAAAAGCUCGUAGUUGAAUUUCGGGGUCAGUAGAUUGGUCGUGCCACUGGUAUGCACUGGUCUUACUGGCUCCUCCUUCCUGAUGAACCGUAAUGCCAUUAAUUUGGUGUUGCGGGGAGACUGGACUGUUACUUUGAAAAAAUUAGAGUGUUUAAAGCAGGCUAACGCUUGAAUACAUUAGCAUGGAAUAAUGAAAUAGGACGUUCGAUCUUAUUUUGUUGGUUUCUAAGAUUGACGUAAUGAUUAAUAGGGAUAGUUGGGGGCAUUAGUAUUCAAUUGUCAGAGGUGAAAUUCUUGGAUCUAUUGAAGACUAACUACUGCGAAAGCAUUUGCCAAGGAUGUUUUCAUUAAUCAAGGACGAAAGUUAGGGGAUCGAAGACGAUCAGAUACCGUCGUAGUCUUAACCAUAAACUAUGCCGACUAGGGAUCGGAUGAUGUUAAUUUUUUAAUGACUCAUUCGGCGCCUUACG